CUGGCGGCGUGCCUAAUACAUGCAAGUCGAACGGUCUUUCUAUGGAAGCUUGCUUCCACUGAGAAGAUAGUGGCGAACGGGUGAGUAACACGUGGGUAACCUGCCCAUAAGAGGGGGAUAACAUCCGGAAACGGGUGCUAAUACCGCAUAGUUUUCUUGAUUGCAUGAUGAGAAAGGAAAGACGGCCUUUGUGCUGUCGCUUAUGGAUGGACCCGCGGCGUAUUAGUUAGUUGGUGAGGUAACGGCUCACCAAGACGAUGAUACGUAGCCGACCUGAGAGGGUGAUCGGCCACAUUGGGACUGAGACACGGCCCAAACUCCUACGGGAGGCGGCAGUAGGGAAUCUUCCGCAAUGGACGAAAGUCUGACGGAGCAGCGCCGCAUGAGUGAAGAAGGUUUUUUCGGAUCGUAAAACUCUGUUGUCAGAGAAGAACAAGUUGGAGAGUAACUGCUCCAGCCUUGACGGUAUCUGACCAGAAAGCCACGGCUAACUACGUGCCAGCAGCUGC
rnacentral:rRNA from 1 species